GAAAGGAAAGUCUUUCUGCAAAUUGUAAAAAGACUACUGAGAAGAUAUAAAUUAAACCUUUAUAGAUCUAAGUAUAGACCCCAAAACUAUAAAUCUUUUAGGUGAAAAUAUAAGAAUAUUUUCAUGACCUCGGGGUAAGUAAAUAACUUUUAGAUAAAGCACAGAAAGCAAUAGGCAUAAAAACCGAUAACUGGAAUGCAGUAGCACAAUCUCAGCUCACUGCAACAUUUGCCUCCAGGUUCAAGCAUUUCUCCUGCCUCAGCCUCCCGAGUAGCUGGGACUACAAGCGCCCACCACCAUGU
rnacentral:lncRNA from 1 species